GUAGGUGGCAAGCGUUGUCCGGAAUUAUUGGGCGUAAAGCGCGCGCAGGCGGUUCUUUAAGUCUGAUGUGAAAGCCCACGGCUCAACCGUGGAGGGUCAUUGGAAACUGGAGAACUUGAGUACAGAAGAGGAAAGCGGAAUUCCACGUGUAGCGGUGAAAUGCGUAGAGAUGUGGAGGAACACCAGUGGCGAAGGCGGCUUUCUGGUCUGUAACUGACGCUGAGGCGCGAAAGCGUGGGGGAGCAAACAGGAUUAGAUACCCUGGUAGUCCACGCCGUAAACGAUGAGUGCUAAGUGUUAGGGGGUUUCCGCCCCUUAGUGCUGCAGCUAACGCAUUAAGCGCUCCGCCUGGGAGUACGGCCGCAAGGCUG
rnacentral:rRNA from 1 species